ACUAUAAUACAUAGUAAUGUUUUGAAGUCAAACUAAGCUGUUCCUUUUGUAUUUAAUGGUUUUCCGUUUGAGAAAUUUGCAAAAAACUGCAGUGCAUGAUGGGUAGGAUCUAAAGGCUGUCUAACGUCCUCGUCCGUCUGACGACUGUAUGUAGCCCGAUUAAAUGCUGUGAGCCUUUUCAUUUGUUUGUUUGCAGUUUCGCCAGAUGUUAACGAAGGGUGACAGAGAGGAGGAGCCCACUGAAACGGUUUGGGGCCCGUGGGAACAGGUCGUCCUCGGCCAUCUCCACCCAGCCCAGGGAGCGCACGGCGAAGCUCUGUGGGAAGAGGGAGGGGCCGUAUCGUUACCGCGGCUACGGCAGGAGAAGCACCUCAGAGCUGCAGGUAUUGGUGCUGACACGUUGAGCCUCAAACAUAACCCGUGAAGACAGCUGAUGUCCCAGGCAGCAGGAACUACAGCGAGGUUAGGAAAAGCUGGGCUGAAGGGAUGUAGUGAU